GGGGAUUUAGCUUGACGGCAUAAGCGCCUGCCUUGCAAGCAGGUAGUUGUCAGUUCGAUCCCUG
rfam:Cavia porcellus supercont2_26 genomic scaffold, whole genome shotgun sequence.